GACAUUGGUCAACAUGAACAUACAGGUUUCAGGUGUGAGCUUCUAUGUUACAAAGAUACAGUUUCAUAAGGAGAUGAUACUGAUGCUGAGGCGGUACUGAUGCUGAGAAGGUACUGAUGCCAAGGAGGUACUUACGCUAGGAGGUACUUAUGCCUGGAGGUACUGACCUGAGGAGAUACUGACGCUGAGAUGUACUGAUGCUAGGAGGUACUGAUGCUGAGGUGGUACUGAUGCUGAGGUGGUACUGAUGCUGAGGCAGCCGGCACACCUCCCCACAGGUCCUCCUCCUGCUUUUUUAUUAUCAGUCGCCUCUAGACUUGGUUUCUCUUUUCAGAUCACACGAGUUCAAAUUUCUACUCUGCUAUUUCUAAGCCAGGUGACUUCAGGUUAGCCAUUUAAUCUCUGAUCUCAGUUUUCUCAAACAGGAAAUGAGGAAAAAAUUACAUAUCUCAGUUUUUACAGAGGGGGGUAUAUAUGACUACAUAUGUUUUUUU